UCACCACUAGAGGGAGCCCUAGCAAGGGGACAAGCCUGCACAUGCGCAGUAAGUCGUUUAUAUCCAGACAAGGCUGGAUGUCGGCGCCAUCUUUGUUUCGCCGCGCCGCUCUCUACACUGAACAGCUGAGUUGGAACAGACGGCCAGAAAUCAGAAAGAAAAAGAGGGGAGAGCUCGUCCAGCAACAUGGACCUUACCUUGGUCGCCUUAGCCAAACGGUUCAUAGCCUCACAGCUGAGAAAUGCAAAGUGUGAAAAAUGGAGAGCUCUUCCCAGUCGGAAUGGGGAUGAGAAACCUGUGAGUGAAAAUGAGCAUCAGCUGGGAACGCUGGUGAACACCACCAGAAGAAGCCGUGGCUAUUAAGACGAUGUCUUCUCAGUGAGAGCAAAGCCACAUGAAGAAUCCCUAACGGUCGAACUUGCCUCAUUUUCCUACGAGGAAUCCAAGUGCACUCAGUGGAAGUGGCAGGUUUUCUGCCUGCUGUAUCUGGGCACCGGGUUGCUUUCUCAUGCCUGGCAAAUGCUGACUGCUGAGCUGACAGAAGCAGGAGUGUUUGGAGAAGAGGUCUAAAAUCACAGACAGAAUAUUCACACCAUCCGGAAGUGAAGAAUGAAGACUACAGUGGACGGAUGGAUGGAUGGAUGGAUGGAUGGAUGGAUGGAUGGAUGGAUGGAUGUCAUCCUUGCUGUUCUCAGACAGAUGUGUCAUAUUUUCAUGCAGGACCUCACAGGACCUUCAUUUCCGACAUAAACACCCAUAAGACAAAAGCAUCAUGACAACAUUAGAACACUAGCCCUCUCUUUAGCUGUCUGCAGUGCUUUAAAAGAAAAGUUUUAUAAACAAAUUUGGGGAGUAAUGUUGGCGUUUUGCUCUUAUACUGGUUCACUUCGCUUUGAGAAUGAAGCCCCAGUUCAACUCCAGGUUAGAGUGACUUGGAAUGGCUCCAGAUUCUUGCUCCUUAUACGGUGUUCUGGAAAAGAAUUAGGACAGACUUUUGAAGACACAGUUAGACUUUUACAAGUCCAUUGGGCUAUUACAAAGCCUAAGGUUUGACACAUCUUGACUUAAAUCUAUAAAAUUAUUCUCCCAUUCCCAAAAUUGGUCUGAGUCUACAGGAGGACCUGUCCAGUCGGAAUAUGAAGCCUUCAAUUCUCUAGAGCAAGGUCAAAAUAAAACUAGUAAAAAUGGGAUUUUGAAGAAAACAAA